CCUACGGGUGGCUGCAGUGGGGAAUAUUGCACAAUGGGGGAAACCCUGAUGCAGCGACGCCGCGUGAGUGAAGAAGUAUUUCGGUAUGUAAAGCUCUAUCAGCAGGGAAGAAGAAAGACGGUACCGGACGAAGAAGCCCCGGCUAACUACGUGCCAGCAGCCGCGGUAAUACGUAGGGGGCAAGCGUUGUCCGGAUUUACGGGGGGGAAAGGGCGUGCAGCCGGCGAGACAAGUCAGAUGUGAAAUCCACGGGCUCAACCCGUGAACUGCAUUUGAAACUGUUUCCCUUGAGUGUCGGAGAGGUAAUCGGAAUUCCUUGUGUAGCGGUGACCUGCGUAGAUAUAAGGAAGAACACCAGUGGCGAAGGCGGCUUACUGGACAAUAACUGACGGUGAGGCGCGAAAGCGUGGGGCGCAAACCGGAUUAGAUACCCCGGUAGUC
rnacentral:rRNA from 1 species